CUUUUUCCAAGCCAUUCACCAAAUCCGUGACACCUCCAGAAACACCCACAUCACAGUGGGGAGUUGUGAUGGAACAGGAACAGCAGAUCUUCCUCUCGCUACAUCAUGCAAACGCCUGAACGUCUCUCUCCCGCUGGUCUCUACGCCACGCAGCUGCAGUGAAACUGGCCCAGACAGUGCAGAGACACAGCCGCUCCAUCACAUUGCAAGGAAUUGCAUGUUUCCUAGUUUCGAUUCUCUGGUUCUGAAACAGGAACACCG
rnacentral:lncRNA from 1 species